rnacentral:lncRNA from 1 species
CUGUAAAUGGGGACGAAGUCUGUAUGAAUUAUUUUUUUGUAACUUAAAUAUUUGUUAAAAAAAAGAAACGGAAAUACGGUAACGUUUCCGAUUUUGGUUCUGUUGUUAGGGAUUUUAGUUCUGACGCUAUUUAAGUUAUGACAUCAUAUACAAUGUAAACAUAGAAACGCUAUCACUCAGGUAACGUUUUUUUUUUUCAUAUCAAG